GGAUUGUAGCUCAGUGAUAGAGGGCUCGCCUGGCAUGCAUGAUGCUCUGGGUUCAAUCCUCAGCACCA
rnacentral:tRNA from 1 species